UACGAAGGGUGCAAACGUUGCUCGGAAUUAUUGGGCGUAAAGCGCACGUAGGCGGCUCUGCAAGUCCCAUGUGAAAGCCCACGGCUCAACCGUGGAAGUGCAUGGGAAACUGCAAAGCUUGAGUACUUAAGAGGAUCGCGGAAUUCCCGGUGUAGAGGUGAAAUUCGUAGAUAUCGGGAGGAACACCGGUGGCGAAGGCGGGUCUCUGGGCCGAUACUGACGCUGAGGAGCGAAAGCGUGGGGAGCGAACAGG
rnacentral:rRNA from 1 species